GCUGUAAAAAUAAUAAACUGUAAAAAAAUUAAUUAAAUGUUUAUAAGAAUGCAAGCGAUUGAAAUGAAUAUAAUUCUGAAUAAAAUUUACUUACACAUUUAUAAGCAUGCAUAAAUAAUUUUGUUUUGUAUUUUAUUAAUUUUAUUUCUGUUAUUUUGUUAUCUCAAUAUAAAUUGAGACAAUAAUAAUCUCUUUAAUGAUGAUAACACGUGUCCGGAUGAAGACUCAGCUCCAAGCCCAAAGAGAGAUGAUUCAAACACUCCGGAAGGGGAGGAUCAGUUGAUAACUUUUGGGUUCUGCAAGAGUGUGAUUCUUGGUUUCUUGAUUGGCUUCUGGGGAGUCAGCGGCACUUUACUGGUGAAUACUUCAUGGAGACAUGGUUACUUGUAACAUAUGUGGAAAAAAAAAAAGUGAGGCGGUUAAAAAGUAAAUAAAAGUAAAAGAAGAAGCUGGAAACAAGAGAAGAGAUACACACGUGUGAGAGAGUGAGAGAAUCUGUAAACCGACCCGAAACUGGACUCGUUUGACCCAAAAUCGACUCGACCAUAUCUUGUGAUUCCGACCAACCCACCGGCCAAGCUUGGUACCAAUCUGAAGCUUGAGGACCGGCCAUCAUACCUG
rnacentral:lncRNA from 1 species